AUGCAGACACGGGCCUGGCCACGGCCUGGCUCAGUCCUCACAGGAGGGUUUUGGCAGACCCUGGCCUGUUUGGGAGGAGGGAAGCAGCUGUAUGGACACUGCAGGACACAGCUCGGGGUGUUGGACUGGGAUUUAUUGCAAUUUUCCCUUCCUGUUCCUGCCCUUUGCCCAGCUCCUCUUCAGUUCUGGUGUCCAGGAUCAUUUCUGCCCACAUCCAUGAUUUCUGCUGGCACAGGAGGUCAUUCAGUCCUCAUCCCCUCCAGCCUUUUCCCCAUGAGGAGUGGAGCUGGAUUAGUUGGCACUGCCUGCCCUGAGCCCACCGAUGCUCCUCCGGGCAGGAGCAGGAUGUUCCUCUGGGCAGGAUUGGGAUGUUCCUCUGGGCAGGAGCGGGAUGUCCCUGCAGGCAGGAGCGGGAUGUCCCUGCAGGCAGGAGAUGGAUGUUCCUGCAGGCAGGAGCGGGAUGUUCCUCCAGGCAGGAGCGGGAUGUUCCUGCAGGCAGGAGAGGGAUGUCCCUCCAGGCAGGAGCGGGAUGUCCCUGCAGGCAGGAGCGGGAUGUUCCUGCAGGCAGGAGCGGGAUGUUCCUCCAGGCAGGAGAUGGAUGUUCCUGCAGGCAGGAGCGGGAUGUCCCUGCAGGCAGGAGCGGGAUGUUCCUGCAGGCAGGAGCGGGAUGUUCCUGCAGGCAGGAUUGGGAUGUUCCUCUGGGCAGGAGCGGGAUGUCCCUGCAGGCAGGAGCGGGAUGUCCCUGCAGGCAGGAGCGGGAUGUUCCUCCAGGCAGGAGAGGGAUGUUCCUGCAGGCAGGAGCGGGAUGUCCCUGCAGGCAGGAAUGGGAAGCUUUUCCAGGCAGGGGUGGGAUGUUCCUGCAGGCAGGGGUGGGAUGUUCCUGCAGGCAGGAGCGGGAAGCUCUUCCAGGCAGGAGCAGGGAGCAGAGCAGCCACGCCCCGUGCUCUGCCUCAGUCCAGCACCACUUCCCAACAGCAUCUCGGGGUUUUUCCCCUCUUUGUCUCCUCGCUGACCCCUGCUCAUCCCACUCAUCCCAAAACCUCCUCAAUUUACUCAGUUUUGAGCCUUUUUUCCCUCUCGUGCCACCCGUAGGGAACAGCCCCUUCCCUCCAAGCCAAAGGCUUCCCUCACUGUCCGGGUUCUCCAGGGCCCUUCCGAGAAGGUUGGGAUGAAGCUUCCAUGGGGGAGUUUUCCUUUCAGAGCCUUUCCCUCCACUCCUGCAAAGCCAGAAUCAGCACUGCCCAUUCCCCAGUGUUUUCCCACAGCUGCUUCAUUAUUUUAAUCCCACUGGGACCCCAGCUGCUCCCUUUGGUCCUGGCUGAAAGGUAGCACAGGACACCUCAGUCCAGGAGCACCAUUUCCUCCUAAAGUCGGGGCCAAAGUUUUCACUUUAUCCUGGGAUUAUCUAAACCCCAGGGAGUCUCGAAGCAGGGCUUUGAUUCCAACACUAUCCUAUAGAAUUCCAUUUUCCAGGAAAAAGGCAAAGUCUCUGAUGGCCUUUUUGUGACAGGUGGGUUGGGAAAAUCCCCACGUCACCUUUUUUUUGGCACAGUCCUCUAAAACCUUCACACAAACAAAAGGGUUCGAGGGAUUUUGAGCCAAAAAUACUCCAGAGUGGAGAAUCCCCUGAAGUGCUGAGGAAAUAUUUGGGUUUACACUGAGAUCAUUUAAAGGCGUUCCAGGUAAAGAGUAACAGCCAUUGACACGGGGACAUUCCAACUUUAACUGUUAUCUCCUGGGAAAAAAUGUCCACGGUAUUCAAAUAAUAAAAAGUAACCCUUAUUUUAAAAAACUAAUUCUGGGGAAAACUAGAGUUCGGCAGAGAAUUCUCUAUUGCAGAAUUUUAAAUACCCAACACACACAAAAACACCCGCAGCUAUAGACCAGCUGCAAAGCAUUUUAAAGUGAUCCGUGGAAUGAAAAUUUGAAAAAAAAUAAAUUAAAGGAAAUAAAAUAAAGGAAAUUUAAAGAAUAUUAAAAGAGGUAGCAUUUGGAAAUUUGGAUUAGAAGUGGCUGCUUCCACUGUAAGGGUUAUCCAAAGGAAAAUGCUGAUUUAUGUCCUGCUAAAGCUAAAAAUCUUUCCUGGGGUUAUCUUGGUCUCUUCUCUACCUGCAAACUGCUGAGUGACAGAAAGACAAAAAACAUUAGAAUUGUCUUUCUAAAAUGACCAGGGGUUUAUGUAACGCCUCUUUUACAUUCAUUUAAAAUUACCUUAUUUGAAAAAUUAGAAUUAUCUGAAUUAUUUUCUUGAGCUUCUCUGCCUUGCAUAUCAGUAUUUUGGAGAGGUGGUAUUUAGGUUUAUGUUGGGCUGUGAUUGUCACUGCAGCUCUCCCAGGUCGGCAGGGAGGACACAGGGCAGGGAAAAGGUGUCGGGUACUUCAGAGGAGGAGGGAAUUCAAUUCUUCACGGAAUCAUGGAAUCAUUUAGGUUGGGAAAGACCUUUAGGAUCAUCGAGUCCUACUGUGAUGCUGGGUAUAAGGACACACGUAGUUUAUCCUUGUAUGGAUAAGCUGAAGUCUUUCCGUGGAAUUAUUCAUGAAAUCAUGGAGUGGGUUGGGUUGGGUUGGGUUCGGAGGGACCUUAAAGCCCAUCCAAUUCCAGCCCCGGCCACCUCCCACUGUCCCGGGCUGCUCCAAGCCCCAAUGUCCAACCCGGCCUGGGACAUUGCCAGGGAUCCAGGGGCAGCCCCAGCUGCUCUGGGCACCCUGUGCCAGGCCUUCAGAGGAAGGAAUUUCUCCCGUACUUCCCACCUAAAUUUCCCCUCUUUACUCACCCAAGGAAUAUUUAUAUUUGUCCCUAGGAAAAAAAAAAAAAAACAUAAAACAAAACAACAAACCCUUUAAUUUCUGCCACGUCCUUCCCAGCUCUCCUGCCUUAAGCCCACCGCCGAGCCCGAGUUUGCGGAGCCGGAGAGGCUCAUCCCGGCGGGCGGGACCUGUUGCUGUCGCUGCCGUGUCCGUCCCCUCCCGUGUCCAUCCCCUCCCGUGUCCGUCCUCUCCCGUGUCGCUGUCGCCGCCGCUCGCCCCCCGCGCGGCCGGGCUGGCCCAGCCUCAUUAGCGCGUGCUGCUUAAUUGAGCCCCGUCCCCGCCAGCUGCCGCUCGCCAGCCUCAUCUGCGCACUAAGUGCUCCUAAUUGUCCCCAUCCGGCCGCAGCCCGGCCGGGAAGCGCCGUCCCGGGAGCGCGGAUCCCUCGGGAUCGGGAGUUUCCAGCGGGAAGCUGCCGGAGCUGCGACGCCCGGCCCGUGUCGCGCCCGAGGAGCGGCUCGGCGCGGCCGGCGGGGACAAUGAUUCCAGCAUAUGGGAUAGUUUGCAGCUCGUUAAUCCGCCAGCAAAUCCCACGGCAGGAUCCCGUCACCGGCAGGGCUGGACAGGACAAAGCCGGAGGAACGGGGAUGUCCCGGAGGGAUGCGCGGGGAGCGGACAGACCGAGCCGCGCUGGCUUUGACACGGCCGCGGUUUGGACAUCCGCGCUGCUGCUGCUGUCGGGGGUUUGUUCCCAGCAAACACCAAAGGGAUGCGCUCCUUAAUCUUGGAGUCGAAGGGAGAAUUCCCAGAUUUCCAGAGCUCUUAAACACGCAGCUUGUUCACACAUUGCAAGGCAGCUCCCUGUCCUGAGGAGAGGAGGUGUUAAAAAGGGGGAUUAAGUUUCAGGUAUUAAAUGGAAGUGGUCCUGAAAAAACCCAGAUAAAUAAACUGAUUAAAAAUGGUCAGUAAUGUCAGAGAAAAGCAGAUCAGCUGCAACAGUAAAUGAUGUCAAAAAGCAAAACAGGGCAAAAUUGAGGCGUUUUUCUGUGCACAACACAGCCAUGGCCAUGAUUGUAAAGGAGUUUUCCUUGGUAAGAAAUACGAGAAAUUCCCUGAUAUUCUCCGAAUGUGUUCUGGGGGUUUAUUUUUUUUAAAGAAUACACAGAUAUUGUAAAAAUGGGGCUAUUUCUGAGCUAAAUCUCCCCCAUCACAAUCCCACGACAUCCCUCCACCCAUCGGGAUCAAUUUCUUUCCCCAACGUGCCUGAGCUCAGGGUUUUCCCUGCUCCCUGCUCCAGGGUUCUCCACGGACACCCUGCGUUUUGGAAAACAAGGGAAUUCUCCCCCAAAACAGACGUUAAAGCGCUGGUGAGACAAUUGUUCCC
rnacentral:lncRNA from 1 species